rnacentral:rRNA from 9 species
CGAACCGACUACCUUUGAAAAGUUAGCGGAUGACCUGUGGAUCGGAGUGAAAGGCUAAUCAAGCUCGGAGAUAGCUGGUUCUCCUCGAAAGCUAUUUAGGUAGCGCCUCAUGUAUCACUGUAGGGGGUAGAGCACUGUUUCGGCUAGGGGGUCAUCCCGACUUACCAACCCUUUGCAAACUCCGAAUACCAAUGAGAACUAUCCGGGAGACACACGGCGGGUGCUAACGUCCGUCGUCAAGAGGGAAACAACCCAGACCGCCAGCUAAGGUCCCAAAAUCACAGUUAAGUGGGAAACGAUGUGGGAAGGCAUAGACAGCUAGGAGGUUGGCUUAGAAGCAGCCAUCCUUUAAAGAAAGCGUAACAGCUCA